GCGUGCAGGUCGGUGGUGUUACACACAUUUGGGCUGUUGCAGGCGUACAGGUCAGUGGUGUUACACACAUGCUGUUGCAGGAGUACAGGUCGGUGGUGUUACACACAUUCAUGCUGUUGCAGGCGUGCAGGUUGGUGCUGUUACACACAUGCUGUUGCAGGAGUACAGGUCGGUGGUGUUACAUGCUGUUGCAGGCGUGCAGGUCGGUGGUGUUACAUUCACGCUGUUGCAGGCGUGCAGGUCGGUGCUGUUACACACAUUCCUGCUGUUGCAGGAGUACAGGUCGGUGGUGUUACACGUGCUGUUGCAGGUGUGCAGGUCGGUGGUGGUACACACAUUCAUGCUGUUGCAGGAGUAUAGGUCGGUGGUGUUACACACAUUCACGCUGUUGCAGACGUGCAGGUCGGUGCUGUUACACACAUUCAUGCUGUUGCAGGCGUGCAGGUCGGUGGUGUUACAUUCACGCUAUUGCAGGCGUGCAGGCCGGUGGUGUUACAUUCACGCUGUUGCAGGCGUGCAGGUUGGUGUUACACACAUUCACACUUGCAGGC
rnacentral:lncRNA from 1 species